rnacentral:rRNA from 1 species
UUCCAGACUCCUACGGGAGGCAGCAGUGGGGAAUAUUGCACAAUGGGGGAAACCCUGAUGCAGCGACGCCGCGUGAGCGAUGAAGUAUUUCGGUAUGUAAAGCUCUAUCAGCAGGGAAGAAAAUGACGGUACCUGACUAAGAAGCCCCGGCUAACUACGUGCCAGCAGCCGCGGUAAUACGUAGGGGGCGAGCGUUAUCCGGAUUUACUGGGUGUAAAGGGAGCGUAGACGGCGGCGCAAGUCUGAAGUGAAAGCCCGUGGCUCAACCGCGGAACCGCUGUGGAAACUGCGAGGCUGGAGUGCUGGAGAGGUAAGCGGAGUUCCUGGUGUAGCGGUGAAACGCGUAGACAUCAGGAGGAACACCGGUGGCGAAGGCGGCUUACUGGACAGUGACUGACGUUGAGGCUCGAAAGCGUGGGGAGCGAACAGGAUUAGAUCCCCUAGUA